UCCAGGGUGCCACUCAAUCUUUAUGGAUUAUUUUCUGGCAUGUUGUAGUUACUCAUUAAUUCAGCAGAAUCAUAUUAAAGUCCAAGGAUCAGCUAAAGAGGGAGUGAUGUAAAGUCGACUCAAGUCAAGACAAUAGCUUUGUGAGGACUUUACCCUGACUUACAGGAGCUACCUAGUGAUCCAACACCACAAGUGAAGUUUUAAGGUUAUCAGAUCUUUGGGAAAAUGUUUUUUGACCAGAGAAAGAAUUGUCUCAAAUGUUCCAGUCUGGGCAGCUUUAUCAGCUUACCAUUCUAGAUACAAAUGUACCUGGUUUGCAAUAAAAACACAGAAAAAGAAAGGUUCUACAAACCAAUGAAACACCAUUCAUGCUAAGCAUGUCUCUGAAUUUACUUCUGAAAACACUCUUUGGAGAACACAGAGAUAAGACUAACAGCACGUGCAACAAGCCACCAAGGGAUGUCCUUUCGCCCUGGCAUCUAAGACUUUUUGGAAUUAAGCGGACACACCCGAAAACACCUAAUUUGGAACCUUCUGAAGCUGCACCUCUAAUUGGUCGGGCAUCAUUGGACAGAGCAUCAUUGUAUGGAUCUUUUUGCUGAGUGAUGAUGGACAUGCCAAACAUCUAAUGUUGUAGAACUUUGCAGCAUUUGAUUUAUGAUAUUGAAGCCUAAAAACACACUUAGAUUGUAAUUUAUGUAUGUAUAUAGGUAAUAUAUUCUAAUUUAUAUUUACCUACUGCAUCCCCUUUUAAUAAUACCUUACCUAUAUCUGAGAAAUUACAAGGUUGCCCCCCCCCAACAAGUCUCAUGCUUUUUAUAGAAUGCAUAAGAGAAUAUGGCUGUUGCCAAACCAUCCUGUAAUAUCACUUUGGUAAGAGAAAGCAAGUUACAUUUAUCAAAGCGGGGGUCACGUUGUCAACCAUGUAUCACAAAUGUGGGUGUACUGAAAAGGUGAAAGGAACACUGCUCCCCAAAUUUAGUAAUUUUAAUAGUGUAAUCCAUUUUCAAUGCAUGCAUUAAAGUGUGGUGGAGUCAAA